GGAUGCGAUCAUACCAGCACUAAAGCACCGGAUCCCAUUAGAACUCCGAAGUUAAGCGUGCUUGGGCGAGAGUAGUACUAGGAUGGCUGACCUCCUGGGAAGUCCUCGUGUUGCAUUCC
rnacentral:rRNA from 1 species